UACGUAGGUGGCAAGCGUUGUCCGGAAUUAUUGGGCGUAAAGAGCUCGUAGGCGGUGUGUCGCGUCGGUCGUGAAAACUUGGGGCUUAACCCUGAGCUUGCGGUCGAUACGGGCAUCACUGGAGUUCGGCAGGGGAGACUGGAAUUCCUGGUGUAGCGGUGAAAUGCGCAGAUAUCAGGAGGAACACCGGUGGCGAAGGCGGGUCUCUGGGCCGAUACUGACGCUGAGGAGCGAAAGCGUGGGGAGCGAACAGG
rnacentral:rRNA from 1 species